GAUGAACGCUGGCGGCGUGCCUAAUACAUGCAAGUCGAGCGAACAGACGAGGAGCUUGCUCCUCUGACGUUAGCGGCGGACGGGUGAGUAACACGUGGAUAACCUACCUAUAAGACUGGGAUAACUUCGGGAAACCGGAGCUAAUACCGGAUAAUAUAUUGAACCACAUGGUUCAAUAGUGAAAGACGGUUUUGCUGUCACUUAUAGAUGGAUCCGCGCCGCAUUAGCUAGUUGGUAAGGUAUCGGCUUACCAAGGCGACGAUGCGUAGCCGACCUGAGAGGGUGAUCGGCCACACUGGAACUGAGACACGGUCCAGACUCCUACGGGAGGCAGCAGUAGGGAAUCUUCCGCAAUGGGCGAAAGCCUGACGGAGCAACGCCGCGUGAGUGAUGAAGGUCUUCGGAUCGUAAAACUCUGUUAUUAGGGAAGAACAAAUGUGUAAGUAACUAUGCACGUCUUGACGGUACCUAAUCAGAAAGCCACGGCUAACUACGUG
rnacentral:rRNA from 1 species